rnacentral:lncRNA from 1 species
GACCGUUUCAUACCAGUUGUUUUUCUUGUUAUUGUUGCAAUAAGUUGUUGGAUGUUAGGCAUGUCUAUGAGCAUAAAGGCGAAAUAUAUUGUAAAAAUUGUUAUAACAGUUUUACGGGCAAUCAAUAUUAUGGAUAUGGAUCAUGACAAUAUUGUUAAUCUGUACAAAAUAAAUAAAGCUGUUUUAAAAGUAAA